UAACGCGUAGGUAACCUGCCUUGUAGCGGGGGGAUAACUAUUGGAAACGAUAGCUAAUACCGCAUAACAAUGGGUGACUCAUGUCAUUUAUUUGAAAGGGGCAAAUGCUCCACUACAAGAUGGACCUGCGUUGUAUUAGCUAGUAGGUGAGGUAACGGCUCACCUAGGCGACGAUACAUAGCCGACCUGAGAGGGUGAUCGGCCACACUGGGACUGAGACACGGCCCAG
rnacentral:rRNA from 1 species